UACGUAGGUGGCAAGCGUUGUUCGGAGUUACUGGGCGUAAAGGGUGUGUAGGCGGCUUUUUUAAGUUUGGUGUGAAAUCUCCCGCUUAACCGGGAGGGUGCGCCGAAUACUGAGAGGCUAGAGUGCGGGAGAGGAGAGUGGAAGUUCCUGGUGUAGCGGUGGAAUGCGCAGAUAUCAGGAGGAACACCGAUGGCGAAGGCAGAUCUCUGGGCCGAUACUGACGCUGAGGAGCGAAAGCUGGGGAGCAAACAGG
rnacentral:rRNA from 1 species